CGGGAAAAGCUCAAAUUUGAAAUCUGACGGUUACGCCGUCCGAGUUGUAUUCUGGAGAAGCGUUUUCCGUGCCGGACCGUGUACAAGUCCCUUGGAACAGGGCCGUCGUAGAGGGUGAGAAUCCCGUCUUUGACACGGACCCCCGGUGCUAUGCGAUGCGCUCUCGAA
rnacentral:rRNA from 1 species